rnacentral:lncRNA from 10 species
GUAACUACUAUAACAAUUAUGAAGAGUAAUUAAAAAGAGAAGAAGAAGAUGAGGAAAACAAAAAGAAACAAGAAAGCAAAAAGCGAACAGUUGCAGCAAAAAAAGGGUCACAGUUGCAGCACCGCCUAAUAUGUCCCUGGGCAUCUUGUUGAUAAUCACAGAAUCCUGUUCUACUUUGGAUUUGUAGCCAGGGAUGCCUGUAUGUACAACCAUAAAUUCUCUCUUUGCCCGUCUCCCUGCCUUCAUUGCAUAGGUCUUUGUCAUGCCUAGGCAUCCUUUCCUUCAUCAGAUACUUUUCCCUUCCUGCAGUCUUUUUGGAUGUCUAGAGCCUAUGGGAUGACCACUCCCAUUCUAAGAGGGCACCGAUUCCCCAUCACUCCUGUCAUUUCCCUCAAAGUUCCAUAUUCAGUAACCUGUCCCUUGGUAAACCAUCAGACAAAACGGUGGCAUUUUAGUGUUAACGUCUAAUAGAAACUUUAAUGUAUUAUUUGCCCAAAGGUUUUUAAAUGGCUGUAUUCAUCAGCAUUCAACCAGAGGGACAGAACCAGGAGGACAGAACCAGUCGGAGAUAUUAGAGAUUUAUUAUAAGAUAUUGGCUUGCCUCAUUGUGGAGGAUGCCAAAGCAAUUCUGAAAUCUGAAGGACAGCUGUCAGGAGGGACACGCCAGAACACUUGGGCAUGAGCUGAAGUUGCUGCCCAGAGAUAGAAAUUUUUUCUUCUGGGAUUCCUCAGUACUUCUCCUAAUAACUUUCAACUGUUGGAAUCAGGUUCACCUAGCCUAUCUAGGAUAUCUCCGUUACUUAAAGUUAAUUGGUUACGA